rnacentral:rRNA from 1 species
UGCGUAGGCGGACUAAUAAGUCAGUGGUGAAAUCUUGCAGCUUAACUGUAAAACUGCCAUUGAUACUGUUAGUCUUGAAUUUAGUUGAGGUAGGCGGAAUGUGUUGUGUAGCGGUGAAAUGCAUAGAUAUAACACAGAACACCAAUUGCGAAGGCAGCUUACUAAGCUAUAAUUGACGCUGAUGCACGAAAGCGUGGGGAGCGAACAGGAUUAGAUACCCUGGUAGUCC